UCAUAUGAGAGUUUGAUCCUGGCUCAGGACGAACGCUGGCGGCGUGCCUAAUACAUGCAAGUCGAGCGAAUUUGAUGGGAGCUUGCUCCCUGAAAAU
rnacentral:rRNA from 1 species